rnacentral:rRNA from 1 species
UGAUACGUAGGGUCCGAGCGUUGUCCGGAAUUAUUGGGCGUAAAGGGCUUGUAGGCGGUCCGUCGCGUCAGGAGUGAAAACUCAGGGCUUAACCCUGAGCCUGCUUUUGAUACGGGCGGACUAGAGGGAUGCAGGGGAGAACGGAAUUCCUGGUGGAGCGGUGGAAUGCGCAGAUAUCAGGAGGAACACCGGUGGCGAAGGCGGUUCUCUGGGCAUUACCUGACGCUGAGAAGCGAAAGCGUGGGGAGCAAACAGGCUUAGAUACCCUGGUAGUCCACGCCGUAAACGGUGGGCACUAGGUGUGGGGGACAUUCCACGUUCUCCGUGCCGAAGCUAACGCAUUAAGUGCCCCGCCUGGGGAGUACGGCCGCAAGGCUA